rnacentral:rRNA from 1 species
GGAUGCGAUCAUACCAGCACUAACGCACCGGAUCCCAUCAGAACUCCGAAGUUAAGCGUGCUUGGGCGAGAGUAGUACUAGGAUGGGUGACCCCUGGGAAGUCCUCGUGUUGCAUCCC